ensembl:lncRNA
ACUGAUUCCUGAAGAGCUGAUUAUAGCUGAUCAGCAACACCUGUGACACCUGCAGGAUGGGUAUAUGAAACCUGCCGUGUGGCUCAGAUCGUAUUUUCUGUUGGUGGCUGAAGUAAUGGGAGCGUUUUGGGCCUUGCUUGUUUUUGUGCUGACUGUCUGGUUCACCAAAGGCUCUGGUUGGCCAGUUGGUGGCACAAAUGUGAAUGGUAAUGGGCCGCAAAGGGCAAUGAGAGAGCUGUCUCCUAAUGAGCCCUCCAUAAAGAAGGCUCUUACGCUUCACCAGUCUGAGUCUGUGUUCCUGCGGAAGUCAAAAGAAGUCCAACUGGAAACUAACGAAGUGGAGGUUAAGGCAUCAGCUGCCUACCUGAAAGCUGUUGAACAUGCGCAUAACGACGGCGUUCCCAUCGGCGCCACGCUGGGCGACUACGGCGGCGCCCUGCUCAACGGCUCGCUGGGCGACUACGGCGGCUACGGCGGCGCCCUGCUCAACGGCUCGCUGGGCGACUACGGCGGCGGCUACGGCGACGCCCUGCUCAACGGCUCGCUGGGCGACUACGGCGGCGGCUACGGCGACGCCCUGCUCAACGGCUCGCUGGGCGACUACGGCGGCGGCUACGGCGACGCCCUGCUCAACGGCUCGCUGGGCGACUACGGCGGCGGCUACGGCGACGCUCUGCUCAACGGCUCGCUGGGCGACUACGGCGGCGGCUACGGCGACGCCCUGCUCAACGGCUCGCUGGGCGACUACGGCGGCGGAUACGGCGACGCCCUGCUCAACGGCUCGCUGGGCGACUACGGCGGCGGCUACGGCGACGCCCUGCUCAACGGCUCGCUGGGCGACUACGGCGGCGGCUACGGCGACGCCCUGCUCAACGGCUCGCUGGGCGACUACGGCGGUGGCUACGGCGACGCCCUGCUCAACGGCACACUGGCCGACUACAGCGGCUACGGCGGCUACGGCGACGCCCUUCUCAACGGCUCGCUGGGCGACUACAGCGGCGCCCUGCUCAACGGCUCGCUGGGCGACUACGGCGGCGCCCUGCUCAACGGCACGCUGGGCGGCUACGGCGGCGCCCUGCUCAACGGCACGCUGGGCGACUACGGCGGCGCCCUGCUCAACGGCACGCUGGGCGACUACGGCGGCGCCCUGCUCAACGGCACGCUGGGCGACUACGGCGGCGCCCUGCUCAACGGCACGCUGGGCGACGACGGCGGCGCCCUGCUCAACGGCACGCUGGGCGACGACGACGGCGGCGCCCUGCUCAACGGCACGCUGGGAGACUCUUUUACUCCAACGAUACCAAACUAAUAAGUUGGGUGGACCUUUUGGGGCACAUUGCUUUAGUUUGUCGUGUAACUUAAGGAUGUUUCUGCUUGUACCGCUGCUUUAAAUAAAAUGUUUGCCUCAACUUUUGGUGAAGAAGCUGAAUUAGUGACUUUCAUUCAUUUGUAAUACUCGUUUGAGGGGUACAAUUUUCUAUUCAAAUACUUUCUCCACAAAGUUCAGGUUUAACGUAAUUUCCAGUUAAAUAUUUUAUCCAAGUCAUGCCUUGAAUAUUGUAUAAUUUCUGUUUGGCUGCAUGGUCUAUCCCGCAAACAUUUGUUGCUGCGCUAGCAUCCUGUUAAGGCUAGUGCAUAGCCAGGGUCAAGUACUCUUCACAGGAAGUCAUGUGAUGACAUUCUGUGACCGUUCUCUUUUGUGAGGUUUGUCAGCGCUUUGUGUACAUGGAGCCUAAACCUGAAUGCUACACGAUACCAUAUUUUGAGGAAGUAUUUUCUAUAUUUUGAAUACAAAAUGGCACAAGUAUUUUGUAUUCGUUGUUAAUUGAAGGGUAUUUUGUAACUUAUAUUUUGAUGUGUUUUUGCCUAUCCCUGCAUAUAACCCAACCAAAAAGUAAAGCAUGCAGGGAAGUUUGUCGUAGAUUUGCCUAAAUAAAGCACCAGGUUGACUGGAUUUUUUUUAAACAAUUGUAGAUUUUUGAGGUUUACUUAGAGUAAUAUCUAAUGCACUUGUGCAAAGAAGACAUGCAGAAAAGAUUUUAGAUAUUUGGGAUUUUGGUCUAAAAGCAACCCUGUUUCAGCUUUUACUUAAUGUAACUUUGUCAGAUUCUGUUUCUUCGAGAUCUCUACCAUCUUUAAAGAACAUAUCCCAUGAUGGUUUCUCCUGUGUCAUGCAUGCUCUGUCGUUCACACUUUCUUUCCGAAUCAGAUGUAUGUAACUGCAGUUGUAAGGUUCAAUAACCUUCAGUGUCCAUUCUGCAUGUUUCUAAGUCGCUCAAAUUUAUAAAGCUUGAGCCCCCUGGGGCUAAGAAAGUCCACAGAGAGGGAGAGAGAGGGAGACAUUAUCUGUGCAAUUUCAAGCUGUGUCCAUCAUGUGGCAGUGUGCAGCUUCUUAGGCGCUACUGUCACAAUGGAACAGAGCCAGUCAAAGUCAGCCUAAUCCCCCACACACACACGCACAGACACUCCAUGUCUGGUUUUUAUCUCUGUGUGCAGCUUGGAGCUUACAGCGUGCCCCCCCUGCGCCCCCCCCCCCCCCCCCGCAUCCUCUUGCAUCUCUUUGAUGCCUCUCUGGAAACACAGGACCUGCUAAUGGAGACAAGGAAAAGGCUUCUCACUACACUUCCUUCUCGUCAUUCGAGCCAAUUCAUUACUAUAAUGUUCGAAAGGAGGGGAGAAAAAGGAAGGAAAAAAUUAAACUGUUUUUUUUUUUUGGCAGAAUAAUGCUGUACAAUGACGGAUGAACGUAACAAAUUGUAUUGAUAUUGAAGACCUGCAGAAGAAGAACAAGGACUAGUACAUUUUCUUUGUCUGUGUAAAUAUGAAGAAAAUGUGAUUUUUGUUGGUUUAUUUAUUGAGGUAGAUGGUCUCUCGUUCUCACUUUCUUCUGUUUUUUUUCUUUUCUUAUACGUUCAUUUUGAUAAAACAAACCUCGGGUGGAAAUUUGUCUUUACUGUAAUGUAAUCUGCCUCCUAGAAAAAAAG